UACGGAGGAUUCAAGCGUUAUCCGGAUUUAUUGGGUUUAAAGGGUGCGUAGGCGGUCGGAUAAGUUAGAGGUGAAAUCCCGGGGCUCAACUUCGGAAUUGCCUCUGAUACUGUUCGGCUAGAGAGUAGUUGCGGUAGGCGGAAUGUAUGGUGUAGCGGUGAAAUGCUUAGAGAUCAUACAGAACACCGAUUGCGAAGGCAGCUUACCAAGCUACUUCUGACGUUGAGGCACGAAAGCGUGGGGAGCAAACA
rnacentral:rRNA from 1 species